AUUCCGGUUGAUCCUGCCGGAAGCCAUUGCUAUCGGGGUCCGAUUUAGCCAUGCUAGUUGUACGAAUUCAAACUCGUAGCAAAUAGCUCCGUAACACGUGGCCAAACCACCCUCCAGAGGACCAUACCCUCGGGAAACUGAGGCUAAUAGUCCAUCCCCGUCCCACGCUGGAAUGCCGGGACGCGAAAACGCUCAGGCGCUGGAGGACGUGGCUGCGGCCGAUUAGGUAGACGGUGGGGUAACGGCCCACCGUGCCGAUAAUCGGUACGGGUUGUGAGAGCAAGAACCCGGAGACGGAAUCUGAGACAAGAUUCCGGGCCCUACGGGGCGCAGCAGGCGCGAAACCUUUACACUGCACGCAAGUGCGAUAAGGGGACCCCGAGUGCGAGGGCAUACAGUCCUCGCUUUUCACCACCGUAUGGUGGUUGUUGAAUAAGAGCUGGGCAAGACCGGUGCCAGCCGCCGCGGUAAUACCGGCAGCUCGAGUGAUGGCCGAUUUUAUUGGGCCUAAAGCGUUCGUAGCC
rnacentral:rRNA from 1 species